rnacentral:rRNA from 1 species
UACGGAGGGUGCGAGCGUUGUCCGGAAUCAUUGGGCGUAAAGGGCGCGUAGGUGGCCCGGUCAGUUCGUGGUGAAAGCGCGGGGCUCAACCCUGCGUCGGCCAUGAAUACUGCCGCGGCUGGAGCACUGUAGAGGCAGGCGGAAUUCCGGGUGUAGCGGUGGAAUGCGUAGAGAUCCGGAAGAACACCGGUGGCGAAGGCGGCCGAGCUGG